rnacentral:tRNA from 1 species
GCGGAGUUAGGUCGCACCACCAGACUACGAAUCUGGGGGUCGGGAGUUCGAAUCUCUCCGGGCGCGCCA